GAACGAGUGCGCGCGCGCCUUAAAGGGGCAGGCACCGCGGGCCGGCCGCCCUGCUUGCCGAGCAGGUUUCCCGCUGAGCCCGAGGCCGUGUGAACCCUGCGGCGGCCUUUUACCGUGACGAGGUUUCACUGGGGUCGCCCCUUGCCCCAGUGCCUCCGCCCGCCCGCGGGCCUCUCCGCGCUGGGCGGCCUCGGGCGGCCUUCUCGAGCCGCGGGUACGGGAAUAUCCUCGGGGAAGGCGGAACUGUGAGCGGCCCGGGCAAAACGCACUUCCCUGCUCUCCUAGUCCCCCUCUGUGCAUGGGCGUGCUGGCUCCUGCGCACCAACAGGGGAAGAGGAAAAGGAGACGUGCGGUCAUUAGGGCGAGGCUGGAGUUUAGGGUAAGAACAAUCACGUCAGUUCUUACCUAUCGCACUCCCCACCGAAGCGUGUUUUGAAAUUACAGGCGUUUAACGCCUGUAAUAAUAAAUAAAAAAAAUAAAUAUCA
rnacentral:lncRNA from 1 species